AAGUCGUAACAAGGUUUCCGUAGGUGAACCUGCGGAAGGAUCAUUAACACGUAUCCAACGUUAAAACCCCCCCGUGAACCUUCAGUGUGCUGGUAAAUCAUCGCCGAACAGUUUUGAUUCAGGGACUUCUGCGAAGAGUGUGCUUGUAGCGCGAGGCAAGUGGCCUGGCAUCCUUGUCUGAAAGUGUCAAGGGUGGCGCAGUCACGAUCGCUAGAGGCCGACACGGCCGGCGACCGGGUCACCGGGCUCACGCCCCUUAAUAACCUUUGCAUGAAAACGGGCCUGCGCUUAAUUGUGCGGCCAUAAACCGAACAACUGUUAACAAUGGAUAUCUUGGUUCUC
rnacentral:misc_RNA from 1 species